GAUGAAGAACGUAGCGAAAUGCGAUAAGUAAUGUGAAUUGCAGAAUUCAGUGAACCAUCGAAUCUUUGAACGCACAUUGCGCCCGGCAGUAAUCUGCCGGGCAUGCCUGUCCGAGCGUCAUUUCUCCCCUCGAGCGCAGCUUUCCCCCCCGGGGGAGGGCCGCGCCCGGUGUUGGGGCGCUACGGAGGAGCCCAGCGCUCCCCCGUAGGCCCCGAAAUGUAGUGGCGGUCCCGCCGCGGCGCCCCCUACGUAGUAGUUUUACAACUCGCAUCGGGUCCCGGCGGAGGCCAGCCGUCAAACCCCCCAACUUCAAUAGUUUGACCUCGGAUCAGGUAGGGUUACCCGCUGAACUUAAGCAUAUCAAUAAGCGGAGGA
rnacentral:misc_RNA from 1 species